rnacentral:rRNA from 1 species
AUAGAUCCGUAACUUCGGGAAAAGGAUUGGCUCUAAGGGUUGGGUGCGUCGGGCCUUAGGAAGAAGCCCUGGGACUUGGAUGGGACUGCUUAGGGCGCAAGCUCUUUGUGGACCUGACUAGGACCUGGGUGUGGACGCCUUUGGCUGCUCUUCGGGGCGUCUGGCGUACGCUUAACAACCGACUUAGAACUGGUACGG